rnacentral:tRNA from 1 species
CGCCGCGUAGAGCAGUUUGGAAGCUCGCUGGUCUCAUAAGCCAGAGGUCGCCCGUUCGAUUCGGGCCGUGGCAA